ACCCCUAACCCUAUGCAGUAUU
rnacentral:miRNA from 15 species